rnacentral:siRNA from 1 species
UUCGAUGGAGUGUAGAGGAUGG